CCCAGCAUGUUAGAAAGUUGGGGUCAGUGCGCAGGGUCAGCCAUGAUACAGUUCCCCUGGAGCAGAGAGGGUUAAGGACCUUGCUCAAGGGCCCAACAGUGGCAGCUUGAUGGUGCUGGGGCUUGAACCCCCAAACUUCCGAUCAGUAACCCAGAGCCUUAACUGUCAAGCUACCACUGUCAGGAAUAUGUAUUCACGAUAGAUGUGUAUUAAUAAUUGCUAUACUCUCAUAAACAGGAUUAUGUGAAGAAAGUAUUAUAAACCAUGGAGAGAUCUCUCUUUGUAUCUGCGCGUGUGUGAAUUGGUGAAGGUCAGCGGUGUGAGAGAAGGCCACCUCCUACAGACAACUCGAUUAAUCAUUGUUUCAGCAUGAAUCUCUGGGGAGAACAAGCACGACUCAACCUGAACUGAAACAUUCCUGCGUGAACGUUUGAACCUGGCAGCCGUGUCCAUGUUACAGUGCAGAUGUUUGUGCUGAUUAUGCAAUCAUUUUACAGUCAGAGGACAGCUCUGUGGUUUGGAGAUACAGUAAACAGUUUAUUACCACAAAGGUCACUGCUGAUGUAUCUCAUACUUGAGGACACAUUUGUUCAUGACUAAUUUGUAAUAUAGUCUGAGGAUACAAUGCAAGGUCCUCUUCAAAACACAAGAUGAUAGACAGGAUUUUAAGAGCAGGACAGGAAAGCAGUGAACAUGAAAACAGGAAGCUCUCCUAGACUCAGACAUCGGAGAACUACUUUCACGGUGUGAUGGUAAGAAUUACUCAUCUCUGCUCAUAUCUGCAAACCAUUCAGGUUCCUUGAUCUAAGAUAAAUCAGUGACUCACUUAUAUAUACAUAUAUACAUGUAUAAAUAUAUAUAGGUAAAAAAUAUAAGCAAUUCAGUGCAUAUUUUCUUAUGUAAACACACAGUUAUGAAACAUUUUGCCACUUUUUAUUAGCAUUCUCAUCUAGAUUGAAGAUCACCUGAUUAGUCAUGCCAGAAUAAUUCCACAUUCAUCUAAUCAUAAUUAAUUCAGAUGAUCAUGACAAACAAGUUCACAUUUUCUGGUUCAAAUGUUUUGUAACUAUGUUUUGUCAUGUAACACAGUAACAUUCAUUUCCAACUAACCGCUGUGUCAUAGUACUUUAUUCAUUUACACAGUUUUUGUUAUAUUCAUUUUCCAUUCCAUUCUGUUUAUUGUUUAGUAAUGUCAGUGUGUUUUAGUAACAUGCUUUAUAUAUUUAUAACAUUGUUAAAUUCCUGAUUCUGUUUGGUCAGAAGUUGUAGAUUAAUUUUGUAUAUCAUCAGUUCUGAUUUUAGUGCUGGCUCCAAGGGAAACUGGCAAAAACUCAAAUAAAUGAAGGCUAAAAAUUAAUGGAUUAAAAAUGGUCUUUUAUUAAACAAAGAAAACAUGCUGUAUAACCAUCAGUGUUUUGUAACAUUCAGUAAGUUUUCCACCACAGGAAAGUCUUCAGGACAGGUUUUUGUGCUUUCCUUUUUCUUUGUAACAUGACAAGCUGCAGUUUUACAAGCUGUCAUUAACUUAAAGAGAAAUGACAGUUUAUAGCUGCUAUGACACAAGUGACAACAGGAAGUAAUUUGUGUCAUGGAUGUUCCACAUGAUUAAAUGUAACUACAAACUGA